CAAAUAUGAGAGAAUCAUUCAGAUACUUGUAUGAAUGACAGUAAUCACUUGUGUAACAUUACAUGAUUAAAGCAAGAGAGGAACGAAGACUGUUGUUUGCAUAUUUGAGCUGUAUCAAACAUCGCAAACCAUUUUCGAAGCCUACAUACAAGUUUGAACCGCGUAUAUCGUCCCGCUCUACUAUAGCGAAACCCACUGCACAGACAAGUGCAAAUCAAUAAAUGAUACAAGAAAAAUUACGUCAUCAUUUCGGUCACCAUUUGCGGAGAGCAACAAAUGGGAAAAGAGAGCGGUGUUGCCAGUAAAACUUCGCGGUCUAUAUGAAUAUACAUAUUUCAAGGGAUAGCGGCGUUAAAAAUGGAAAAAUAUGAUCUGUCUACCCUUCCCUUAGCCUCUAUCGAGCUAAAUAAUCAUGUAGUUUGCACUCUCUGAAGGUGGGACCAGAAUGCCGCGUUAUGCGUCACGUUGGAACAGUUGUGCUUUGACAGUUUAUUUUAAAUAUGUGUGUUUCCGUAUAGUCGCCCACAAUGAUGCGUCGUGUCAUUAGCAUCGUUGUACUAAACUCUGACAUUUGUUCUAAACUGCUUGCGUCGAAUAUGUAAAUGUGUUGUUUUUAAAAACAUUCAGCUGAUGCCAUGGACACAACAAGAAAAAGAUUUUCCCACGAUCUGAAAUUCGUUGAAAAUGGAGUGUGAAACAAAUCUAGUUGAAUUUGUGAAAACAAACGAGUGCUUCAGGUCGAAGGAACAUCGACUGUGUGAAACCAGCCACACGAGAUAGAAAAUUUGGACUGAUAUACCAAAUGCACUGAAACAAGGAGUGUUGAAACGAAAGUGGAAGAGCCGUUACGUGAUAGAUAUUCGCGGAAUAAAUGUGCUCCAAGUAUAGGAUUGACACCGAUUGCAGCAUCAUCAUGGCAGUAUUUUGAAGCAUUAAAGAUUUUGUAAUCACUUGUCAGCAAAUGAAGGACAGCCAGCAACUACGACCCUGAACGAUCAGUUCUCAGCACAAAAAUAUUGAUCUUCGCGACAUUAAGCUGAUGGUGAAAACAAUGCAUGCAGCAAAACCUCCGAGACAUGAUUCAUUCGGAAAAAGUCGGGUGGGUAAUGUCGGGGACAUAACCGGAGUGACGUAGGA